rnacentral:rRNA from 1 species
AGGAUGAACGCUGGCGGCGUGCCUAACACAUGCAAGUCGAACGUCCUGUCUCGCAAGAGGCAGGGAGUGGCGGACGGGUGAGUACCACGUGGGUCAUCUACCGUGAGGUGAGGAAUACCGGCGAGAAAUCGCCGACAAGACCGCAUAGGCUCGAUGCAAGUCGAGCAAAGCUCUUUCGAGAGAGGGAGCGCCACACGAGGAGCCUGCGCCCGAUUAGCUAGCUGGUGGAGUAACGGUUCACCAGGGCGACGAUCGGUAGCUGGUCUGAGAGGACGAUCAGCCACACUGGGAUUGAGAACGGCCCAGACUCCUACGGGGGGCAGCAGUGAGGAAUUUUCGUCAAUGGGGGCAACCCUGAACGAGCAACGCCGCGUGCAGGAAGAAGGUUUUGGAUCGUAAACUGCUUUUCUCGGGGAAGAGAAUGGACGGUACCCGAGGAAUCAGCCCCGGCUAACUACGUGCCAGCAGCCGCGU